GAAUUUUCCGUGAUCAGUGUUUUGAAGCUGGUUUUUGUUAUUGAGUUAUUGUGAUAUAGAUAUUCUAUUGUCGUUGUGGUCGAGUGUCGUUGUUAAAAAUAACCAUUAAGCCGGGAGCGUAGAUCUACGCGAGACACAAUGUUUUUUCUAUUGGGUCAUAUGAGACACGAUCGGCAGUGAAGAGGUUAGAAGAAGGAAAUCUCUUUAACUUUUUAAAGACAUAUUUACUUCUACAUAUCAUGCAUUUAAUUUGAAAUGUAAGUCCUAAAAGUAUCAGGUAUCUGAGAUUUCAUUCCUAAAGAUCGUGAAACUUGGCGAAUUUACAAUCUGUCGCUAGCGAAUGUUUCCUCAUAUGCCCUAACCGACUACAGACGUUAUAUACUAUGUUUAUAUACCAUACCUCUGAGUAUUGAUCUGACCUGCGCACUGCAGACUUCACUGUACUGCAGUGUCGCCUGCAUUCAGCCAUUACUCGUUCUGCCGCGGAAGGCUUCGAUUCUUCGAUUAUCGUCCUUAUCUACGAGCCUUGGUCAGCAAAGGAAAUAAGAGGGCGUGGUCCUGAGAGACACGUGGCGUGUCGGAGGCGCUUCAAGAGAACCAAUUUGGUCCUUCGAGUCACCGCAGAGGUUUCUGCUUUUCUCUUGAGAUACCAUCGCGCUUAAGAUCGAGAGAUGGGUAACGUGUUCUAUGUAGCUAACAAUUCAGACGACAAUGAGUUAGUAGACGCGGAUCUACCUGUAAACGAACUGCGACGACCCGGGCAUUACAUGGAAUAUUGUAACAGUAUGGUGUCGGGUGUCGGUCUUGUCAAGGACUUUCAGCUCUCAAACCAAUUUAACGAAAAAUUAUGGUUUGGCAGGAUGACGUUCCUUGUCGUCGAUCAAGGAAUUUUUAAAGCGAAAGAUAAAAAAGCUAUCGAGUCCAGACUCGGCAGGCAGCUGGAGCGCGAAGACUGUAUUUGUAUCCGCCACCCAAAAACCAUAAAAGACGGACAGUUGCUGCCUCAGCAAGUGUUCGUAGCUCGUGUUUUUAGUUUGGAUAUUGUGCAUUAAGAAAUAAUUAUUUCAAGCACAUGAGUUUUCCUUUCUUUGAUGGUUUCAAACAUUUAUUGUCGGUUGUCGUAGUGGUCGAUUUUCAGAAAAUAUUCUUAAAUUCUUAAUAUAUUUCCAUGUCAUGUCAAAAAAUCGUAUACGGGUGUAAACAUUUAUACCUAUGUGUAAUUCUUUGCAUUUCUUAUACUUAAGCUUGAUUGUGUGAAACAUUAUAAUAUAGAAUUCAAUCAGAAAUUGUAGUGUUAAUAUUUAUAUACCUAUUCAAAUAGUUUAGCUUUGUCCCGAUUAAUUCAAUCCACAUUUCACAAUAGGUGUAUACUUAGUUGUACAUAAUUAAUUCUAAAUAGUGUUUCCAAAAUAGCAGCUUUAGAAUUUAGAUUAGUUUUAGAACAUUUAAAUACACUUAGUGUAUUUAUGAAAAAUAGAGUAGCCAUUGAUAAAAUAAUAAGUAAUUAAUCCCAAACAUAAAUAUGUGUCCAAAUAUAAAAAUCUAGAUGAGAGAUUAGUCAAUCAAAUAACAUAACAUUUUGCAAAUCACGCCAACUUCAAAAUAGAUUUUUAUCAUGGUGGAAAAUCAUCCAAUGACUUCUCCCGCCUUGGGCGAGGCGAGAGGGAGUGUCAGACUCUUACUGACUAAAAACCACCCCGUUCCUACUCCUGCCCGUCGAGCCGGAGCCCCGGUAAACCCGCUAGGUAGUCCGCAGCUCCGGAAACUUCAAAAUAGAUGGCGUGGCGAUCUUAGACAGUUAUCAAACAUAUGUUGAUAUCUGUAAUAUUAAUACCUACAUAUAGUAAUGAAAUUAAUGACAUAAUAUUUUAACUAUCCCUCUUAACGUAUGCCUCUAAUAACAAUCACAAGCCAAAAUUUUAGAUAUUUUGUAAUUAACCCCAUGUAACCUCAAACACAACGCAAUGAGUUUUACCAAAGUAUCAUAGAUAGCAGCACUUUGUAUGAGCCAUUGACAAAUAUACGCCGCUGUAUUCACGCUUGUCAUUAUAUCAAAAUUAAUAGAAUGAGCACUUGGCUUAUGGUCUCAUGUAACUGAAUUUUUGAUUAUUGAACUGUACAAUGUCAUUUUGUAUCUUGUUUAUAAAAAUAUAUAGCAUUUCAUUCCAAUUAUUACCAUUUAAAGAUUGAGGUUAUGUUGUGUCGGUUGGAACUGUAAGAGUUGUGUUGGUCGGAUCUGUAGGACCAACUUCAGGAAGGACCUGAAUUUAUCUGUAAGCGGUUUGUCUGUGGCUGUAUUCAGACCCAUGAUGAGUUGGGCCCCAGGAAUUAUUGAUUGGUCCUUUUUGCCGCAGUAAGGUGUUGUCUCGUACGUGCAUUUGGCGUUGUCGGUUUUAAAGGUGUUUCUUAACUAAUUUAACGUUUUUAUUAUUCCUUCAGUGAUAUAAGAGGGAGUGGUUCCUCGUUACUGAAGCACCUUCGGGUGCGCCUUAAGGCCUUAAAGCAGCGCCUUCGGACAGUCAGUAGAAGUUUUUCGAGGAUUAUUUACAGGUCACUGUUUCAAGAUGAAUGUGGUACGAGAAGCACGGUUCGUGGAAAACGACGGGAUAGAAUUAAAGAAGCUCAUCCCCACAAUAGCCACAUUUAUUGUCUUAGACUACAUCAUAGAAAGAUUACUAUUAGGAAUGAAUUUAAAUUAUUUUCUUAUACGAUAUUAUACUAGACCGCUAAUCAAUGCAAUAAAGGAACAAUGGAAACGGUUUAAAGAAUAUAUAAUGCAGAUUGAGGAACCACCCACACUGAAUAUGGACUAAAUGAGUGAUAUUGAAUUUCUACGCUCUACUUUCUACUUCUACAACUAAAAUGCAUUUGGAUUAUGUAUUGGUAAAUGGAAGGUUACAAUGGCUUUUGUGCAUAUUGGCGGCAUAGCAUAUCAAGUAAUUUUUUGCGACAUUUAAAAAUGUACCUUAGAAAUGUGAUAAAAUAGUUCAAUUUUAAUAUAAUGUACACAGUUUUAAGUAACAUUUUUAAAUGUCACAUUAAAAAUACCAUGUCGUCAAUAGUGCUGUAAUAAAUCUUGUAAACAUUUUGUUUUGUAGUCAAAUUGUUUGCAAGAUUGACUUAUUAUGUUAUUACAAACAUUCGCCAAAAAUGUUAUCAUGUUAUAGAUAUAAGUGUCAGAGGUGAGCGAUUAAAACAGCAAGCAUUUUCCAAUAUAAAGGACCUCUUGUAUUUAAGGUCUUUUAUAACAAACAUUUGCUACGUUUCACUGAUCUUUUUUCUGUCUUUUUCCUAUCUGGGUUUGGUUAAUUAGGACCGAAUCUGAUAAGCCUGAUUCGGAUCCCAACCCAGUUGGAUAAAAAGGAAAAUAAUGAUGGUUUUUUACAUAAAGAAACUAUCUUCUGCUCUCAAUAUCCUGUUAAAAAUGACACCACGUUUUUGGAUAAACCCGUGUCAUUCUUUACUUCUCUUCUGUGCCAUAGUAUUUAGAAUAUGCUUGCACUUUUUGGUCGCUCCCCUCAUCUAGAAGUUAAAGAAAUGUAGCAAAAUAUACACCACGAAAAUCUAAACUAAGUACUAGUAUGUAAGUCUUUAGAAAAAAAAGAACGUUUGUAAAUAUUAUUUAAAAUAACUGUCUCGUACUUCAUGUUCUUCGAAAUUCUGUGAAUUUUAAGAUCUGUUUACCUUUGAUAAGUGUGCCCAUUUUCUAACGUUAUUUAAGAUAAGUCUUGCCACGUAAUGAAUGUGGUACUGUUACGUCAUACAUAAGUUAAGGUUACAUAAGUUUCUAGUUAUAUCCCGAGCCGGAGCUGCGGACAACAUAACAGGUUACCGGGGCUCCGGCUCAAAACAGGAGAAAGAACGGGGUGGUUUUCAGUCAGUAAGAGUCUGACACUCCCUCUCACCUCAACCAAGGCGGGAGAAGUCAUUGGAUGACUUUGCCUCCUCAAAGAAAAAAAGUGUACUAGUUGUAUAGGGAAAGAACGUCUCUGUAUUCUUAAUAUCGUGUUACCGUUUGAACAUCAUCAUGCCGUUGUAUUAUAUUGAAAGUUGUCGUAGUCUUGUGUCGAAUGUUGCCGUGUUAGGAACGUCUCUGCAAUUCUUGAUGUGUACUUGUAAGUGUCUUUAUAAUAAAAUAAAUGUUUCAUAGGAGGAA